GUCUAAAUAGUUUAAAUAAAAUAUAAGUUUGUGGUACUUAUGAUGUAAAUAAUGGUUACUUUAGACU
rnacentral:tRNA from 1 species